GGACCGCGGAGGCCGCGGCGCGUUUCCUGUCGGGCCACGGGGCGAGACGCCUGGCGCACUUUGUUGCCGAAGUUUCUGCGCCCAGAACUCGAACGGCGGACUCCACCCUUGAGGCAAGCGACGCUGCGGACCCCACAGGCUCUUCUGACAAUGGAGGCAGGAGAGUUUCAUAAUUUAAUAGAUCACCUGCUGUCCAGGGGACAUGAAUUCUCUGCAGUGGAUGUCCAGGAUACAUCCACAAUGGACCCUGCAUGGAAUGCCUGAAGAUGACAGAGCCCUGGGAAGUAGGAGGAUAAGGGACAGCAAAGCCAGCCUUCCUGCCUCUCCUGGCUGCUUCUACUGAAUUCACUUCCUGGCUUUCAGCAUUUACACAGGUGACCUGUGUGCCCCUAGCUUGGAGAUCAUGUCAUCUGUGCUAGAGGUCGUCGUACUUCUUCCUUCCCAAUCUGGAUUCCUUUGAUUUCAUGCUCUCACCUAAUUGCCAUGUCCGGAGCCUCCAGUAAAAUGUUGAGCACAAGCGGUGAGAGGACAUCCCGAGGUUGUUCCCGAUCAGAUGGAAAGCUUUCAGUCUCUCACCACUGAGCACAGCAGCCGAGGGUUUUCGUAAAUGGUCUUCAUCAGUUUGAGGGCAGUCCCUUCUACUCCAGGUGUGUUGACUGUUUUUUUUCUGUGUCUGUUGAGAGGAUCAGGUGGUUUUUGUCCUUUGUUCUAUUAGUGUGGCAUACUACAUUGAUUGAUUUUCACAUGUUCAAUCAGUCUUGCAUUCUUGGAAUAAAUCCCACUUGGUCCUUUUAUAUAUGUUGCUGGAUUUGAUUUGCGGGUAUUCACUUGAGCAGUUGUGCCUCUCUAUUCCUAAAAGAUGUUGGUUUGUAGAUUUCUUUUCCUGUGAUGUCUUUGUUGGGUUUGGUGUCAGGGUGAUCCUGGCUUUGUAGGAUGAGGUGGGAAGUGUUCUCUCUUGUUUUUCAUGUAUCUUUUAGUGCUUUCUCUUCACUGCAUCUUCAUGGUGUUGCUCUGUGCAACUGCCUUGCUCAGUGGGGUCCAGCGUUUGGCCCAGCCAUAUCCCUUGAAGUUUACAGUUUACUGCAUCAACCAUGCUUGGCCACAGAUAUCCAUUGGAUGUUGGUGCCUGUGAAGGGGUGUGUGGUGAGAGCCCCUCUCUGGGUAGAUAAAGUCAGUGUUCUGAAAGCCUGCACACCAGCUCUCAGGUUGUCAUCAGCAAGGCGUUGGGGGAGCUCCUGUUAUAAAAUUGCACAAGCCUCUUGGUUUGAAAUGCGUUUUUCUGGAUUUUUGUGAAAGCAUUUCAGGAUAAGGCCCAGUUAUGUCUAGGCCACACAAGAGCAAAGUACUGGAGCUGUCAUCCCUGCAGGAAGUGGGAGCCCACCUGAGAAGUUGCUCGAGACGAUGUCAGCCAAAUAUCAGAAGGGGUCAAGGGGGCGGGCUAAGGCAGAGUGUUCUAAGUGGCACCAUCUUGUCUGGGAGUCCACCAUCCUGUCACCAGCCCACUGAGCCAGACAGCCUGCAGGUGCCCCUGAAGUCCUAUUCCACAAACCACAUAGAAACCUGACAACAUGGAGAGGGUUCUUGGGGAAGAGGAUAUCUGUUUCAGUUGUGCGUUGCUGGCACGGAUUGUCAUCAUUUUGCUGUAAACAAGUUCACACCCUGUCACACCAACCUUUACACUUUCAAAGAAGUGGAAAGAGCAGAAGGACAAAGACCCCUCAGCCCCAGGAAUAAAUCAGCCUGGGGUGGGGGGUGGGGGGUUUGAUGGUCAUGUGAUGAGACCCAUGAUCUGCCUCCCGUGAUGUGGGGACUGGCAUGGGCUAGAUGCUCAGUCCACGCUACUUCUCACGGAUAUCCGCAAGUGGGGAGCUGCCGUUAGGGUCCCCCAGGGUCCCCCAGGCUUGACAGGUGCUCCUGUCUAGAAAGGGCUGUCAUUGGUGUCUGAGGGGCCCUAGGGAUGCCCCAAGCUGGAGGU